AAAGGCUGCUCUCACGCGAAUACUGCGUAUGAGCCCAGGCUUUCGGCGAACGAGCUUCACGUGACCAGCUCUACUGUGGACCAAUAUUUCGAUGGCUAGGUUCACCACCACAUUUUUCUGAAAAUUUCUCUUCAGCAAGACGGCCAUUAUAACGAUGUUUAAGUGUCUCGCGUCUUCAGCCUUACCGCAACAUUACAAUAACAAAGAGGUGUUCAUACGUUGCAGUGGUUCUUUACAUCUUAUAUUUUGUCCUUCGUCAUUGGCAUACCCCAAGCUGUUUCGCCACUUCCGCCGGAACCGGUUACUGGGCGUGACGCAUCACGACGAAAUGUAGAAAAUAAAUUGCAUUUUAAACUACUUAG
rnacentral:lncRNA from 1 species